ACGGCCCCGCACUGAGUUGAUGCUUGAGAAGGCGUUGCAAAAUGACAGCAGUUUGAUGUGUGGUCCAGUAUGCCCUUUGACUCUCAACGCAACGUUAGUUAGAACUCAAAUACGGCCCUUAGCAAUAUCAGCGAGGCUAGAAUGUCGUCUCAGCUUCUUGAGCUUCAGGUCGUGGGUAAACCUGCUUUUUCCAGAAUCCAUUUGGUUCCCAGGGCCUUUGCUGUGACCCUCUUCACAUCAUGCCAAGCGCCAUGUUUCUCCCUGGUCAACAGCACCUUAUUUAUGGCGACACAAUUGGCUACAAAAUCCUUGACGUCAACCCAGUACUACCUUUGGGGUAGAGCAAUGUGCCCCUAGAUACAAACAUCGUCACAGAUCUCUCUCCAAUGGCUUGAAGCUGUUCACAUCACCAAACACCGCUUCAUAUUAAGCUACCAGCAGUAUCCAUGCAACAAACCCAUUAUUGCCCAGCAACAGCUACAUCAGCAGCAGUGGUCAAUUAAGCCGUCAACCAUGUUUUGGCAGCCAAGGUUGACCCACACCUCUCAGAGCAAAUCAGUGGGCUUUGAUGUCGCAGCACAUCAACUCAAAGAGAUCCAUGCGAGGUCAGCCCUCACAACAGUGCCAUACCAUGACGUCCUCCAACUCGCCCCAAUACUCACCUUGGUGUCAGUGAAAAAUUCAAGGUCACAUGGGCCUUGGUGGUCUUUGCAAGAUUGGCAUGUUGGACUGGAGUGAUGGGACAUCUUCCAUUUCAAUUAGGAUCUUGUUGCAAUUAUUUUCUCUUUAAUUAGUCAUUAAUGAAAAUGAUUGCAAUUACAAAAGGAAUACUUAUGCUGCUAUGGAUAAAAAUCUCCAAACAUAUUAACCUGAGAUUGAAGUUGGACUCUUGGCUGUGUUGUGUUUAUUUAGUGUUGACAUUAAUGGAGUUUUUAGACAAAAGUGGAAUGUGGGCGCAUCUGUGAAAUGGUUGCCAGCACUUAUUCUUAGAGGACAUAUGAGUUUUCUCAGAACAUAUCGCCUUACACAGAUAUUUUGAUGAUGUGUGAUAUUUUUCUACAAUAAAAAAUUAUCAUUUUCAUAUCCCAUCCUAUAUUGCCUAAUUGAUGGUUUUGGAUGAU